rnacentral:rRNA from 1 species
CCUACGGGAGGCAGCAGUGGGGAAUUUUGGACAAUGGGCGCAAGCCUGAUCCAGCAAUGCCGCGUGAGUGAAGAAGGCCUUCGGGUUGUAAAGCUCUUUUGUCAGGGAAGAAACGGCAGUUUCUAAUACAGAUUGCUAAUGACGGUACCUGAAGAAUAAGCACCGGCUAACUACGUGCCAGCAGCCGCGGUAAUACGUAGGGUGCAAGCGUUAAUCGGAAUUACUGGGCGUAAAGCGUGCGCAGGCGGUUUUGUAAGUUUGUCGUGAAAUCCCCGGGCUCAACCUGGGAAUGGCGAUGAAGACUGCAAGGCUAGAAUCUGGCAGAGGGGGGUAGAAUUCCACGUGUAGCAGUGAAAUGCGUAGAGAUGUGGAGGAACACCGAUGGCGAAGGCAGCCCCCUGGGUCAAGAUUGACGCUCAUGCACGAAAGCGUGGGGAGCAAACAGGAUUAGAUACCCUGGUAGUCCACGCCCUAAACGAUGUCUACUAGUUGUCGGGUUUUAAUAACUUGGUAACGCAGCUAACGCGUGAAGUAGACCGCCUGGGGAUACGGUCGCAAGNUUAAAACNCAAAUGAAUUGACGG